GACGAACGCUGGCGGCGUGCUUAACACAUGCAAGUCGAACGGAAAGGCCCCUUCGGGGGUACUCGAGUGGCGAACGGGUGAGUAACACGUGAGUAACCUGCCCUUGACUUCGGGAUAACUUCAGGAAACUGGGGCUAAUACCGGAUAGGAAUCCUUGCUGCAUGGUGGGGGUUGGAAAGCUUCGGCGGUUUUGGAUGGACUCGCGGCUUAUCAGCUUGUUGGUGGGGUAGUGGCUCACCAAGGCUUUGACGGGUAGCCGGCCUGAGAGGGCGACCGGCCACAUUGGGACUGAGAUACGGCCCAGACUCCUACGGGAGGCAGCAGUGGGGAAUAUUGCACAAUGGGCGGAAGCCUGAUGCAGCGACGCCGCGGGCGGGAUGACGGCCUUCGGGUUGUAAACCGCUUUCAGCAGGGGCGAAGCUUGUGGUGACGGUACCUGCGGAAGAAGCACCGGCUAACUACGUG
rnacentral:rRNA from 1 species